CAAUCUUUGACGCAAUUGCGCUCUUGGGUAGCCCUAGGAGCACGCCUCUCUCAGUAUCGGUUCAACAACCUCUCAACUGCGUAUGCAAAUAUGUUCAGUUGGAUAAUGAGAGUCUGAUUCUUCACGAAUUAGUCUCUUGAAAUACAUCGAGUGAGCAUCAUAUUCCAACACUUCAGUCUUCGGAUUGAAGCCGGUCUCGGACUGGUUGUAUGGGAGUGACGUGAAUACUGACCUUCAUGGUCUCACAUUUACGUGUAACUUUCAUCGACUAUGAAAAGUCUAGGAUAGGUGUGUAGGAAGAGUUGCCUCAUGUGUCGCGGCCUUCACAAGCUGCAAUCGGCGACGAAUUUAUUCGACGUCUGAAUUUUGAUCUGAGAUGAAGCGAGACAACCCCCUGAAUUUAAGCAUAUUAAUAAGGGGAGGAAAAGAAACUAACAAGGAUUCCCCCAGUAACGGCGAGUGAAGCGGGAAGAGCUCAAUUUGAAAAUCGACUACCUAAGCGGGUCGUCGAGUUGUAGCCUAGAGACGUACUAUCAGCUGAAACCUGGGUAUAAGUUCUUUGGAAUGAGGCAUCAUAGAGGGUGAGAAUCCCGUAUAUGACCCAAAGCUUUCAGCGUACGAUGUAUGUUCAUCGAGUCGAGUUGUUUGGGAUUGCAGCUCUAAAUGGGUGGUAAGUUUCAUCUAAGCUAAAUAUGGC
rnacentral:rRNA from 1 species